UACGUAGGGGGCUAGCGUUGUCCGGAUUUAUUGGGCGUAAAGAGCGUGUAGGCGGCCAGGUAGGUCCGGUGUGAAAACUCGAGGCUUAACCUCGAGAUGUCAUCGGAAACCAUCUGGCUAGAGUCCGGAAGAGGAAAGUGGAAUUCCUGGUGUAGCGGUGAAAUGCGCAGAUAUCAGGAAGAACACCAAUGGCGAAAGCAGCUUUCUGGGACGGUACUGACGCUGAGACGCGAAAGCGUGGGGAGUGAACAGG
rnacentral:rRNA from 1 species